GAGAAUAUUGUAACUUCAGGUGCCUUUUAACAAGGUGAAAAGGGAAUGCGGUUGAAUUCCGCAACAGCCCCCGCUACUGUAAUUGAGGACAAACCUUUACUGGCCACUCUAUAUUAAUAUUUGAGGAAGGCAAAGGGGAGAAUGAUUCAUAAGCCAGGAGACCUGCCUGAUUAAAACAUAUGCU
rnacentral:ncRNA from 2 species